CUGGCAUUGGUCUCGGUAAAAUGAAGAAAACUUCAAAAUUUGAAUGGUUUGGAGGUUAAAACGCUGGCAUUGGAUUCGGCAAACGGUAAAAGUCAAGCUUUGAGCUACAGUAAAUUUAGUUUCACCUUCAUCUUUGAAGACUCACUGUUUACCGUCUAUCACAUUAUUUUAUUAUAAAAUCACUUCUUUCAACUGCUCCUUUCCUUUUCGCCCGUGAUUCCGUUUCUUUCUCACCAUUUCUCUUCCUCUGCCUUUCUUCCUCUCCCAGACGUUUCUUUCGCCUGUGAAUCCGAAAAAAAAAUUUCAUUUCUCUCUUUCAAUUUUUGCUCUCCAUUUUCUCUCUUCUUUUUCUCUUUCUCUAUCUCUCUCUCUUCCCUCUAGAGCCCGAUACUCCCUCUCUCCCUUUCUCUCCAUUUUUGAUUUAGUUUUUGCUAAACCCAACCUCAUAAACUCACCCUUCUCAAUCUAAAUCACGCUUGAGGAGCAUAAGGAAAUUUUAGUGAUGUCGUUCAAGUAAAUCGCUCUUGAGGGGUUGAGGAAAUCACUGCCCAAUCCAGGAAAUCACAACUUGAGACGAAAGGACUCGUAACUUUUUUACCCAUCAAUGCGGUUGCUAAGCAGCGGUAGCCUUUUACUUCAAUUUUUCCUUCUUUUGUGUGCGUGAGUGUGUGUGUGUUUUUUUUUUUAAUUAUUAUUGUUGGUGACAUUCCUUUUCUUGUUACCAGGUUGGUUAAUAAUUCGUGCUUUUUUCUAUUAAGAUUCGCUUUGCUUUUAUCCAUUUCUUGAAACUUUUACAAUCCCCAAACAGCUUCCCUAACUUGGAUAUUGAACUCUAUAUUCCUGUGAUUAUUAUGCCAUGGGUGCAUGUACCCAUUUUUUCUUUCAGAAAAAAAUCUUUGAACAAUGCCAUUUUAUAAAUAUUUAGUGGUUAAGUGCAUAUUUAGAAGGAAAGCAUCUACUCAACAACUUGUAUAUCUGAAUUGUUUGAACAGUCAAUGCUUUGUCUAAUGAGCAGGCUCAGAAGAGAAUUUUUUCUGAUAAGAUAAAUUUUGCAGUCUGUGUAACUAAUUAUUUGUUGGAAUAGGGUAAUUAUGUGGUUCAAGUGCUUGGGAUUGUUGAUCGAUGCUUGUAGUAUUGAUUUUUGAAUUCACAAAUAUGCUUUCUAAAAGAUAGGAUUUAAAGACUAAGAAAGCAAUUCUUGAAAAAAGUGGAGGUUACAGUAUUGCAGAAGUAGCUGCAAAUAAGAGGGUUUUAAGGAUUUUUUGGUUGGUCAUUUGAUGGCUAAAGAGUGUGAAAACUAUAUGUGAAUUUGGGGUUUAAAUAGGUUAAAGAAACGGAUUUGUUUUGGGGGUAAGGAUAUAUCAUGCUUAACCAAGCUGUCUUUGUGGCAUCAACUACUGAGUUGAUGCUGACUGUCUUUUAACUUGCCAUAACUUUUUAAGAUUUCUCGUGAGUUGGCUAUAUUCCUGGAUUGAUUUCUUGUAUUAUCUAGUGUUAGAACUCUCUUGAUAUUUAGUUAUUAAGUUGAUUGAUUAUUUUGGUUCUUUCUUUUUCCCUGUUUAUCAUAUCUUCUUCUUGAGUCACUUUAUCAAGCUAAAAAAGUUCUCUUGUAUGAUUCCCCAGCGGUUAACAUGAGAUAUUAUAGAUUCUAUUCUCACAACCUUGAUAACAUUUUCAGUCAACAGUCCAAAGUCCCAGGUUUGAUCAUGCUUCUACCCUCAGUUUGAUUACUAAAUUUGAUCAUUGGAAUUUCCACAUUUUCUCAUCUUUAUUCUGAGGGUUCAUAUUAUCCUUCUGCUUUGUUUGUUUGAGAUCUGUGGUUGAUAAAUGACAUUUACUAUAGCCAAUGAGCAGACUGCUGCAAUAAUUGAUGGUAAGUCAAUUGCAGGGUAGAUUAUGUCCAGAAUAGCUUGUGAGGUCUGGAGGAUGAAGGAGUCCAUUGGAAGCGUUCCUGGAUUGGCUGUCAUUAUGGUGGGAUAGAGAAGGGACUCCCAAACUUAUGUACGCAACAAGAUAAAAGCUUGUCAUUAUGGGUUUUCAAUAUCUUUGUAUAGAAGAAUUGGUGGCCACUGAUAUUGCACUUAAGUGUGAUUUUUCCAAAUUGUAGAUGUAUAUAUUUGUUUCAUAAAUUGUAUAUAUAAUUGUUGGGUAGAA